rnacentral:rRNA from 1 species
UACGGAGGGGGCUAGCGUUGUUCGGAAUUACUGGGCGUAAAGCGCUCGUAGGCGGCUUUGUAAGUUAGAGGUGAAAGCCCGGGGCUCAACUCCGGAAUUGCCUUUAAGACUGCAUCGCUAGAAUUGUGGAGAGGUGAGUGGAAUUCCUAGUGUAGAGGUGAAAUUCGUAGAUAUUAGGAAGAACACCAGUGGCGAAGGCGGCUCACUGGCCCGGUACUGACGCUGAGGCGCGAAAGCGUGGGGAGCAAACAGG